rnacentral:rRNA from 1 species
UACAGAGGGUGCGAGCGUUGUUCGGAAUCAUUGGGCGUAAAGCGCUUGUAGGCGGCCUGUCAAGUCGCGUGUGAAAUCCCCUGGCUUAACCAGGGAAGUGCGCGCGAAACUGGCGGGCUUGAGUGCCGGAGAGGGUCGCGGAAUUCCCGGUGUAGAGGUGAAAUUCGUAGAUAUCGGGAGGAACACCAGUGGCGAAGGCGGCGACCUGGACGGACACUGACGCUGAGGAGCGAAAGCGUGGGGAGCGAACAGG